rnacentral:rRNA from 1 species
GACAGCGGGGGCGAGCGUCGUCCGGAGUCACUGGGCGUAAAGCGCGCGCAGGCGGCAACCUUAGUGUCGUGUGAAAGCCCCCGGCUCAUCCGGGGGAGGCCAUGGCAAACUGGGUCGCUCGAGCUGCGGAGAGGCCCCUCGAAUUGCCGGUGUAGCGGUGAACUGCGUAGAGAUCGGCAGGAAGACCAAGGGGGAAGCCAGGGGGCUGGCCGCAGGUUGACGCUGAGGCGAGACAGCGUGGGGAGCAAACCGG